UAAGCUAUGAAUGAGUUUGCAACUCAGGCAUUUUGGUCCUUUCCCCCAAAGUUGUUAUUUUCUAUUUAUUUAUUUCUUAAAUGCCAAAUAGUAAGGUCUACAUCCAAUUGUGAUAUUGAAGAACCUCUUCUCUAUUUAGAGACCAUGUGUCCUAAAAAGAACACUCUGCAUGUUACUAAUUUGGAAAAAAAUGGCUACAGAAGAAAAUUCUAUGCUAAAUUCCUUGAAAAUAAAUUAUAUUUUCUUUUCAACUGACACCAAAGAAUUUCAGCUUUAAUUGAAUCACUUGUAAUCAAAGCAGUGGUCAAAGAAGUACAGGAGUAUAUUAAAAUGUGUAAGCAUCUGGUAAAUGAACUUAACUGUUGCAUUUCAUCGUUUAUUUGCAUUCUAGAGAUAUCUAAUUGUGUCUAAAUAAAUACUUUAUAAUCUUGUCUUUCAAAACCAUCUGAACAUACAUUUCCAAAUAUUUGUCUCCUCCUUUGUAUAGCAAUUACACUGGCCACCAAUAGCUCAGGCACAGGUAAGCAAUAAUCAUCAACCACAACUUAAGAGGGACUUAAAAUCCAAAACUUCCUUUUGCAGUAUUAUUUAUACCUUUGCAAUUACAUUUUUUGGGGGGGAUUUUUUUUCCUGUUUUUGUUUUGUUUUUAAGAUUUUAGAAAAAAAUGUUGUACAAACUGAUAAAGAGUCUUGACUUCUUACUUGUGGUCUAUAAAGUUUAAACUUUAACUUUAUGUUUUGAUAUCUAUUUAACUAUUUAAUCAGAUAUCUCUGAAACAUUAAUUUCAAGUUGAUCCAUUUUAUAUAUGACCAUAGAUGUUAUCAGAAACAUAAUUUUCCUUCCAUAUAAAACAUUUUUUCCCAUUAUUUUCUCCAAUUCAGUAGCUUCCAUUCCAGGGAUUACAUCAAGCAGUGAAAUAACAGGAACAACUCUGAGUUUCCUCAGUGAAACUUUUACCACAGGUGUUACAAGAACUCCAGCUCCCAUCACCUCCACAGCUGGAAGUGUGGGCACCACAGGACUAGUGGGCUCCACCUUCACCAGUUCUGGGCACAUAUCAGGAGGAACAGAAGAUCCUACUGCACCAGUAAGAGGUGAGGAAGAUGGCACACCUGGGCAACCAAGCACAGGAGUGACAAGCUCAGGAGAAGCAGGGACCCCAAGAACUUCAGAAAGCUUCACAACCACCCCUGGGAGCAAGAGCACAAAUGCAGACUCAGCUGUCCCAGACACAACCCCUGGAGGCCAACCAGGUACGGAAAUGGGCAACAUUGACAGUCAUCUGAGGCAUCUUCUUACUGACCUUAAGGAAGUCACCAGCACUUCUGAGUUAUUCC
rnacentral:lncRNA from 1 species